rnacentral:rRNA from 1 species
GAUGAACGCUGGCGGCGUGCCUAAUACAUGCAAGUCGAGCGAACGGACCAGAAGUUUUCUCCUCUGAUGUUAGCGGCGGACGGGUGAGUAACACGUGGAUAACAUAACUAUAAGACAGGGAUAAUUACGGCAAACCGUAGCUAAUACGGGAAAAUAUUUUGAAUCGCAUGGUUCAAAAGUGAAAGACGGUCUUGCUGUCAGUUAUAGAUGGAUCCGCGCUGCAUUAGCUAGUUGGUAAGGUAACGGCUUACCAAGGCAACGAUGCAUAGCCGACCUGAGAGGGAGAUCGGCCACACUGGAACUGAGACACGGUCGAGACUCCUACGGGAGGCAGCAGUAGGGAAUCUUCCGCGAUGGAGGAGAGCCGGAUGGUGCGAAACCGCGGGAGUGAUGAAGCUCUUCGGAUCGGAGAACUCUGUUGUUCGGGGAGAACAUAUGUUUUUGUAACUGUGCAGAUCUUGACGGUACCUAGUGAAAAAGCCACGGCUAACUACGUG